CCAGGCACUGAUGGUAGAAUGGCAGCGACCCGCUGAACAGUAUCUCGUGCAGCAGCACAGGGGAGGCAAGCAUACCAGCUCGUCUUCUAGAAACACAUUCACCACCUUCUUGGUUUUUAACUUAAGAACAGGAGACCUGCACGUCCUAUGGCGAUCUGUUCGUGUGAAUUAACUAACUCUGGGGGUGCAGCCAGAAGUUGCAAAGCCAAAGCAUCGUGAUGGUGGGCCCUGCGAAGAAAGGCAUGACGGGAAAUUGUUUGAGCAACACAGAGGUCCUAUGAACCACGCAUUGCCAACAGGUGGGACACAUUAGGACUUUCAGGGGACGCUAGGUGGGCUUGGCGUUAUGGUCCUGUUUCCCAUAAAAGUAAACAUGUAAAUAAUUGUACCAUAUGGUUAUUUGACAAAUAAAUAUCAUUGUUAUCAAU